AGAGUUGAUUAUGGCUCAGGAUGAACGCUGGCGGCGUGCCUAACACAUGCAAGUCGAGCGGGAAUCUGCUGAAUGAAGCUUCGGCCGAGUGACGCAGAGGAGAGCGGCGGACGGGUGAGUAACGCGUAGGUAACCUACCUUAUGCACAGGGAUAGCCCCGGGAAACUGGAAUUAAUACCUGAUAAAGCGGCUAGGUCACAUGGCCUUGGCCGCCAAAGAUUUAUCGGCAUAAGAUGGACCUGCGUCUGAUUAGCUGGUUGGUGAGGUAACGGCCCACCAAGGCGACGAUCAGUAGCCGACCUGAGAGGGUAAUCGGCCACAUUGGAACUGAGACACGGUCCAAACUCCUACGGGAGGCAGCAGUGGGGAAUAUUACACAAUGGGCGACCAAGCCUGAUGUAGCAACGCCGCGUGAGCGAAGAAGGUCUUCGGAUACGUAAAGCUCUGUCCGUUGGGGACGAAGGAAGUGACGGUACCCGAAGGGGGAAGCCCCGGCUAACUACGUGCCAGCCGCGGC
rnacentral:rRNA from 1 species